UUUGUAACAUACCUACUUAAAGAAAAUGAAUGCCCUUACAAUCUAUCGUAAAAGCAGGACAUUGAAUGUGAAUUGUAUUGUUAAAUGGGUGAAAAUGAAAGAAAAUGGAAUUGUACAAAUAUUUUUAGAUGCGGAGACUUUACAUCUAAAGGGACUUGCAUAUGACAGCAUUCAAAUACAAAG